CCUACGGGUGGCAGCAGUGGGGAAUAUUGCACAAUGGGGGAAACCCUGAUGCAGCGACGCCGCGUGAGCGAUGAAGUAUUUCGGUAUGUAAAGCUCUAUCAGCAGGGAAGAAAAUGACGGUACCUGACUAAGAAGCCCCGGCUAACUACGUGCCAGCAGCCGCGGUAAUACGUAGGGGGCAAGCGUUAUCCGGAUUUACUGGGUGGAAAGGGAGCGUAGACGGCGGUGCAAGUCAGAUGUGAAGGCCGGGGGCUCAACCCCGGGACUGCAUUUGGAACUGUGUUGCUAGAGUGUCGGAGAGGUAGGCGGAAUUCCUAGUGUAGCGGUGAAAUGCGUAGAUAUUAGGAGGAACACCAGUGGCGAAGGCGGCCUGCUGGACUAUGACUGACGUUGAGGCUCGAAAGCGUGGGGAGCAAACAGGAUUAGAUACCCGUGUAGUC
rnacentral:rRNA from 1 species